rnacentral:rRNA from 1 species
UGAGGAAUAUUGGGCAAUGGAGGCAACUCUGACCCAGCCAUGCCGCGUGCAGGAAGACGGCCCUAUGGGUUGUAAACUGCUUUUAUACAGGAAGAAACCCUGCUACGUGUAGCAGUUUGACGGUACUGUAAGAAUAAGGACCGGCUAACUCCGUGCCAGCAGCCGCGGUAAUACGGAGGGUCCGAGCGUUAUCCGGAAUCAUUGGGUUUAAAGGGUCCGCAGGCGGUCGAUUAAGUCAGAGGUGAAAUCCCAUAGCUUAACUAUGGAACUGCCUUUGAUACUGGUUGACUUGAGUCAUAUGGAAGUAGAUAGAAUGUGUAGUGUAGCGGUGAAAUGCAUAGAUAUUACACAGAAUACCGAUUGCGAAGGCAGUCUACUACGUAUGUACUGACGCUGAGGGACGAAAGCGUGGGGAGCGAACAGG